GACUCUGUCAAAUAAAAUUCUAGGUAGAAUUAUGAUAAUGACAUUGUCUGCCUAUAUGUCUUGACCAAAUUACGUGCCAGCAGUCGCGGUAAUACGUAGAAGACUAGUGUUAUUCAUCUUUAAUAGGUUUAAAGGGUACCUAGACGGUAAAUCAAGCCUUCACAGGGACUAAUUUACUAGAGUUACUUACCAGGGGGUAUUAAAGUACUGCAGGUGUAGAGAUGAAAUUCUGUCAUACCUCUUUUCAAAAGAAAAAUUAUGGCACAGGUAUAGGUGAAAGCAUCCCCUUAUGUGAUAACUGACGUUGAAGGACGAAGGCUUUGUGUCGCGAACAGGAUUAGAUACCCCAGUAGUCAAAGCAGAAAAUGAUGAAUGUCAUAGAUUAGAUAAAUAGUUUAUUCUAUAAAUGAAAAUGUAAGCAUUCCACCUCAAGAGUAAUUUGGCAACAUUGGAACUGAAAUCAUUAGACCGUUUCUGAAACCAGUAGUGAAGUAUGUUGUUUAAUUUGAUGAUCCGCAAAAAACCUUACCACAAUUUGAAUAUUUAUAUCUAUCUUUUUUUUUCGUAAAAAAAUAAAAAGGUAAUAUAUUUACAAGCGUUGCACGGCUGUCUUCAGUUAAUGUCGCGAGACUUUGGUUAGUUCCAUUAAAUUAACGUAAACCCUUACUUUAUUUUUAUAUGAAGUAGUUCCCCGCUAUAUUGGAUAUGAUAACAGGGACUAAGACAAGUCAUCAUGGCCUGAAUGUUGUGGGCUAUAGACGUGCCACAUAAACCUUACAAAAGGGUGUGAAAUUGCGAAAUUGAGCUAAUCCCCC
rnacentral:rRNA from 1 species